rnacentral:rRNA from 1 species
AGUGAACGCUGGCGGUAGGCCUAACACAUGCAAGUCGAACGGCAGCACAGUAAGAGCUUGCUCUUACGGGUGGCGAGUGGCGGACGGGUGAGGAAUACAUCGGAAUCUACUUUUUCGUGGGGGAUAACGUAGGGAAACUUACGCUAAUACCGCAUACGACCUACGGGUGAAAGCAGGGGAUCUUCGGACCUUGCGCGAUUGAAUGAGCCGAUGUCGGAUUAGCUAGUUGGCGGGGUAAAGGCCCACCAAGGCGACGAUCCGUAGCUGGUCUGAGAGGAUGAUCAGCCACACUGGAACUGAGACACGGUCCAGAGUCCUACGGGAGUGAGCAGUGGGUGAUAUUGGACAAUGGGCGCAAGCCUGAUCCAGCCAUACCGCGUGGGUGAAGAAGGCGUUCGGGUUGUAAAGCCCUUUUGUUGGGAAAGAAAAGCAGCAGGUUAAUACCCCGCUGUUCUGACGGUACCCAAAGAAUAAGCACCGGCUAACUUCGUG